rnacentral:rRNA from 1 species
UACAGAGGUGCAAGCGUUGUUCGGAAUUACUGGGCGUAAAGGGCGCGUAGGCGGCCUUCUAAGUCAGACGUGGAAUCCCCCGGCUUAACCUGGGAACUGCGUCUGAUACUGGGAGGCUUGAGUAUGGGAGAGGGAUGUAGAAUUCCAGGUGUAGCGGUGAAAUGCGUAGAUAUCUGGAGGAAUACCGGUGGCGAAGGCGGCAUCCUGGACCAUAACUGACGCUGAGGCGCGAAAGCUAGGGGGAGCAAACGGGG